AUAUAUAUAUAUGUAGAAAUGCUUAUAAGCUAAAACUCCCAGGUGGAGAGCCAUUUGAGCUUGUGCAUCGUUGAGUUGGGCUCGUUGGCCAGGGGUCCGCUCA